AUGCACGCUAGCUACAGGCUUAACACAUGCAAGUCGAGGGGCAGCAUGGUCUUAGCUUGCUAAGGCCGAUGGCGACCGGCGCACGGGUGAGUAACACGUAUCCAACCUGCCGUCUACUCUUGGACAGCCUUCUGAAAGGAAGAUUAAUACAAGAUGGCAUCAUGAGUCCGCAUGUUCACAUGAUUAAAGGUAUUCCGGUAGACGAUGGGGAUGCGUUCCAUUAGAUAGUAGGCGGGGUAACGGCCCACCUAGUCUUCGAUGGAUAGGGGUUCUGAGAGGAAGGUCCCCCACAUUGGAACUGAGACACGGUCCAAACUCCUACGGGAGGCAGCAGUGAGGAAUAUUGGUCAAUGGGCGAGAGCCUGAACCAGCCAAGUAGCGUGAAGGACGACUGCCCUAUGGGUUGUAAACUUCUUUUAUAAAGGAAUAAAGUCGGGUAUGGAUACCCGUUUGCAUGUACUUUAUGAAUAAGGAUCGGCUAACUCCGUG
rnacentral:rRNA from 1 species